AUAUGGAGGUGGAAUCGUUUUAAUAAAACGUAUUACGCCUUCCUUCGAGCGAGACGUCGCGUCAUCGAAAAUAUUGCUAACCCAUUGUGUGUUUUCGCGUGACGAAGGUCGCGACGCAUUUUCGUCGACGCGUUAACGCGUCAUAAUACCGGCCGAUCGUGUCUGCUGCAUACGCAGCCUGACUGAACGAAGCGUGUCGAGUGUGUUAACCGUGCCUACGUACGAAAAUAUUAUUUCGCUUUUCCAUUUGAACACGUUUCGACCUUUGAGGUGCAGCGACCAAGCUAUCGUCGUAUCGGCCUCGUCGUCAUUGAACGGGAAGAGGAUGCCAUUUUACGGCUGGCCUUGUUUCUUUUUUUCUUUUUUCCUUUUUCUUCCUUCUUCUUCUUUUUAUCAUUUCGAACCGUGUCGAAACGAUGAAUGAUUUUUGGAUCGUAAUUUCGCGGCCGUAAUCUAAGUAACGACACGCAUGAAUCAAGCAUCGUUUCACGAACGAUCGACAUUGAAAGAAAUCUGUACGAUAUUUAAUCGUAACCAUUGCCAUUCGUUCUGUUCCAGGAGAAAAAUUCAUUCCUGAAUUACAAUGUGUCCUGCAUUCUGACUCUGCCACCUUAUCAACGCCAGGGAUACGGCCGGCUGCUGAUCGACUUCAGUUACUUAUUGACCAGAGUGGAGAAAAAGAUUGGCUCCCCC